rnacentral:rRNA from 1 species
CACAUGCAAGUCGAACGGAAAGGUCUCUUCGGAGAUACUCGAGUGGCGAACGGGUGAGUAACACGUGGGCGAUCUGCCCUGCACUUCGGGAUAAGCCUGGGAAACUGGGUCUAAUACCGGAUAGGACCACGGGAUUCAUGUCCUGUGGUGGAAAGCUUUUGCGGUGUGGGAUGGGCCCGCGGCCUAUCAGCUUGUUGGUGGGGUAACGGCCUACCAAGGCGACGACGGGUAGCCGGCCUGAGAGGGUGUCCGGCCACACUGGGACUGAGAUACGGCCCAGACUCCUACGGGAGGCAGCAGUGGGGAAUAUUGCACAAUGGGCGCAAGCCUGAUGCAGCGACGCCGCGUGGGGGAUGACGGCCUUCGGGUUGUAAACCUCUUUCACCAUCGACGAAGGUUCGGGUUUUCUCGGAUUGACGGUAGGUGGAGAAGAAGCACCGGCCAACUACGUGCCAGCAGCCGCGGUAAUACGUAGGGUGCGAGCGUUGUCCGGAAUUACUGGGCGUAAAGAGCUCGUAGGUGGUUUGUCGCGUUGUUCGUGAAAUCUCACGGCUUAACUGUGAGCGUGCGGGCGAUACGGGCAGACUAGAGUACUGCAGGGGAGACUGGAAUUCCUGGUGUAGCGGUGGAAUGCGCAGAUAUCAGGAGGAACACCGGUGGCGAAGGCGGGUCUCUGGGCAGUAACUGACGCUGAGGAGCGAAAGCGUGGGGAGCGAACAGGAUUAGAUACCCUGGUAGUCCACGCCGUAAACGGUGGGUACUAGGUGUGGGUUUCCUUCCUUGGGAUCCGUGCCGUAGCUAACGCAUUAAGUACCCCGCCUGGGGAGUACGGCCGCAAGGCUAAAACUCAAAGGAAUUGACGGGGGCCCGCACAAGCGGCGGAGCAUGUGGAUUAAUUCGAUGCAACGCGAAGAACCUUACCUGGGUUUGACAUGCACAGGACGCGUCUAGAGAUAGGCGUUCCCUUGUGGCCUGUGUGCAGGU